rnacentral:lncRNA from 1 species
CAAUAACAGAAAAUUCAGUAUUUCUAUAUGCACUCUAUCUACACAACCUAAGUCAUACUUUAGUACCACCCUGGGACUAUACAGCAUUAACUUAUCCCGAAAAUCUAGUUAUGGUUACAAGUAGCACAUGCAACAACAGAAAAACCAGUAUUCCUAUAUGUACCAUAUCUAUACAACCUAAGUCCUACUUUAGUACCCCUCUGGGACUACACAGAAUUAACCUGCCCCAGUAAUUUAGUUAUAUUGCAUAUCAAAUGUGAAAGCCCUCCGAAGUCACUCCAUGAGUACAAAUGUUCUCACUCGUCACCAAUAUCGGUGACCGACACUCAACCUUCUAUCUCU